UUACUUCUUAGUAGCGAAGCUAACGCGUUAAGUUCUCCGCCUGGGGAGUACGGCCGCAAGGUUAAAACUCAAAGAAAUUGACGGGGGCCCGCACAAGCGGUGGAGCAUGUGGUUUAAUUCGAUGCAACGCGAAAAACCUUACCUACCCUUGACAUCCUCGGAACUUGUCAGAGAUGAUUUGGUGCCUUCGGGAACCGAGUGACAGGUGCUGCAUGGCUGUCGUCAGCUCGUGUCGUGAGAUGUUGGGUUAAGUCCCGUAACGAGCGCAACCCUCGUCCUUAGUUGCCAGCGAGUCAAGUCGGGAACUCUAAGGAGACUGCCGGUGAUAAACCGGAGGAAGGUGGGGAUGAUGUCAAGUCAUCAUGGCCCUUACGGGUAGGGCUACACACGUGCUACAAUGGGCAGUACAAAGGGUUGCCAAGCCGCGAGGUGGAGCUAAUCCCAGAAAACUGCUCGUAGUCCGGAUUGGAGUCUGCAACUCGACUCCAUGAAGUUGGAAUCGCUAGUAAUCGCGAAUCAGCAUGUCGCGGUGAAUACGUUCUCGGGCCUUGUACACACCGCCCGUCACACCAUGGGAGU
rnacentral:rRNA from 1 species